GUGGUGGCUCAGCGGUAGAGCGCUUGCCUAGCAUGUGCAAGGCCCUGGGUUCCAUCCUCAGCACCACA
rnacentral:tRNA from 1 species